ensembl:snRNA U1 U1 spliceosomal RNA
AUACUUACUGGCAGGGGACAUACCAUGAUCAAGAAAGUGGUUUUCCCAGGGCGAGGCUUACCCUUUGCACUCUGUAUGUGCUGCCCCCUGUGAUGUCCCCAAAUGUGGGAAGGUGAACUGCAUAAUUUGUGGUAGUAGAGGACUGUGUUUCCUCUUUUCCUUG